rnacentral:rRNA from 1 species
AGAGUUUGAUCCUGGCUACAAGAACGAACGCUGGCGGGGUGCCUUAUACAUGCAAGUCCAGCGGCCUGUCGGGAGCUUGCUCCCUUAGGUCAGCGGCGGGCGGGUGAGUAACACGUGGGUAACCUKCCUGUAAGACUGGGAUAACUCCGGGAAAACCGGGGACUAAUACCGGAUGCUUGACUGACCCGCACGGUUCAAUCAUAAAAGGUGGCUUUUAGUUCCUACUUUCAGAUGGGCGCGCGACACAUAAUCUAGUUGGUGAGGUAACGGCUCACCAAGAUGACGAUGAGUAGCCGACCUCAGAGGGUGAUCGCCCACCCUGGGGUUGAGACGCGGCCCCCACUCCUCCGGGAGGCAGCAGUAGGGAAUAUUCCGCAAUGAAGGAAAGUCGACGGAGCAACGCCGCGUGAGUGAUGAAGGUUUUCGCAUGGUAAAAAUCUGUUGUUAGGGAAGAACAAGUACCGUUCGAAUAGGGCGGUACCUUAUCGGUGCCCAACCAGAAAAACCCGCGUAUAUCUGUGCCACCACCCCCGGUAAUACGUAGGUGGCAAGAGUUUUCCGGAAUUUUUGGGGGUAAAACGCGCGCAGGCGGUUUUUUAAAUGUGAUGUGAAAACCCCCGGCUCAACCGGGGAGGGUCAUUGGAAACUGGGGAACUUGAGAGCAGAAGAGGAGAGUGGAAUUCCACGUGUAUCGGUGAAAAAUGUGGAGAUAUGGAGAAGCACCACUGGGGAAAAGGCCUCUUCGGUGUGUAACUGACGCGGAGGCGCGAAAAAGUGGGGAGAGCACACAAUAAUAUACCCCGGUAGACCCCACCCCAAACGAUGAGUGCUAAGUGUUAGAGGGCUCCGCCCUUUAGUGCCGCAGCUAACGCAUAAGCACUCCGCCCUGG